rnacentral:lncRNA from 1 species
CCUGAAAAGACUAGAGACAGGUAGAUUACGUCUGUUAGAGGUUGUGAUGCAGAGCGUCGUGUAGAGGGCAAAAUGAGGAUGAUAAGAGAAGUGAGAUUGGGAGUGAAAGAAAAGAGUUCUGAGGUUGUAAGGAGAGAAGUCGUAAGGUGAAGAGCAAGAGAUGAUAAAGAAGAGAGAGAGGAAGGUGGGUAGGCAGCGGAUGAAGAAAGAGCGACUGCUGGUCAGUCCCACGGGGCGAUUCUUUCCAUUUGCUUUGACAAACAAACAAUAAGACCAGGAAAUUCUGUUAAAGAGAAGGGUGACUUGGCUUCGUUUGUGAUUGUUUCUGGCAGCCAGGAGCUCAAUGAGUGGAUAAGUACAGAUGCUGUGUGGCCUUUCUUUCAAAGUUUUGUUUGCAUUGUAAGGGCGUGAUGCUUUAAUGAUGCUUUGAUGAAGGAUCUGUACACAGCACCACUAGCCAAAGGCGUAGGAACCUUGAAACAGAAAGAUCAAACUGAAUUGGAAUCUUCAAUUCUGAAAUAAUGCCAUUGUGUUUAUCAGAGAGUCAGACUUGUACUUCGUCCAAAAUUGAAGCUCUCGGUCCUUAGCACCCUAGCAACAUAAAACUCAUUUCCUGAACGCCUGCUAUGCUUGAGAGUCAACCUUUAAUAUAAUUUCUCAGCAUGGUAGAUCAUGUUUCACUUCCUCGUCGAUGGAUUGAAAAUGCGAUUGAGAUGUUGGAAGGGUUGUCAUGAUUCCUACAAUUUCACAGAUGGUCCAUGUCUGAGCGACGUAUCAAUCAAAAUAUUUCUUCUACAAUGACGGGUCAUAUCAUCAUGGCUUGCUUCUGUGUAAUCGAUAUUCUGAUAUGAUUCAACUAGCAACCAGUACACUCUAUCUGAUCACACACCAGCAGUUUCGUCGCCCGAUGUCUUCCAAUAUCUUCAUCUACAUCUGGACUAGUCUGAGCUAUGGAGAAUAAAGAAAUCCCCAACCAAUCAUAGAGACAACAUGCGCGGGUGUACCAAUGGGAAGUCGCAUUAGUCAGGAACAGUCCCGAAUUGGUGGGCAAUCCUCGCGGAAGCCCAGCCACAACAUCGAAAAAUUGCAUUUGUUCAACGCGAUGGAGCAAAGGGAUAGCAUGGGAGUCCUUGGGAAACUAUUGAGCAAUAUCGAAAUUUACUUGCAUUGCCAUUUUCAUUUCAAAAGAAAACAAUAUUGAACGAUUACACGCAGCAGCCGGGAGACAAACGAACGUAUAUUCCACUUCUGGCGAAGAUGCGAUGGACCCUGCAGUGUUCACCUCGCCUGGAGGGGUUGAUCCUUGAUAGAUGACUCACUGAGCAUGCAGUCCCCCAACUUUUAGCCUUGAGAUAAUGCGUGCUAUCUGCUUAUCGAACAUGACUUUACUAAUCUGAUUACUUGUCCGCGGCAUGAAGUACACAUUGGUGCAUGAACCGAAGCAAUCACAGUAAACGCUGGAGAUGCCUUGCUUUUAGGGCAGGCAUAUUGGAUGUAGUUGGGUACAUAUUCCGGUUGCGUUGUCUGCGUGUCAGAUGUUGAUACGCGGAAAUCCGGAUUCCACUCGACAAAUCACUCGUGGGGAAUUCAGACUAGCUCAUGUGAUUGCUUGAUUUUGUUGGAAUUCCUUUCUCUUUUCUUGAAAAGAUAUCAACCCUUGCAAAUCAUCGUUGGAGGAGGUCUUGGUAUUGCAUCUAUAUAUCAGUUGUACUCGUGAUUGGGCGGACGGAUUGUGCCGGUAACAAAGUGUCAGUUUUUAGAUUUAGAGUCCCCUUUUCUUUAAGUUCUUAUUUUUGCUCCCCAUUUCAUUCCGUAGUCAACAUCCACCGGGUUUUGGAUACGAGGUACGAGUACGUAUGGAUACAGCUUUGAGUCUGUGAUGGGAACGUGUGAUUCAUUUCCUUGCCGUAUUCUCAUUGGACAGACAAUUUAAAAUUUAACUGAUAAUAGCAUGCCACAUGGGCCGAGAGACAAAUAAAUGAGGGAAUGUGAUCAGAUCGCCUGCCGCCACCACUGAGUCUUGAGUCUGGAGUCUGGACAGCUCUCGACUGUACAAAGGCUCAGUGCGAUCGAUCAUCGAUCAUUUUAUUCUUUGUGUGUGCGACGGCAAGUAAAGGAGUGAAGGAGACUAACUAACUACUGUGUAUGCUAUGUAUGUGCUGUUCGGAGUAGUGCGGAUGGCUCGGUACCUGAUGAUACAUGCCCAAAACCGACAAAUUCCCAAGCGUCCCGCGGCCAGGCAGGCGUCGGGACAGCAACGAGUCAGCGAUUUUGUGCUCGCAGGAACUAGCGACCGAUAGUUUGGUGGUCACAGUGUAAGUGUGAUACGUACACGCGCAUUUUGGUCUUUUUGCUCAAAAGAAAGCAUUGCGGCGAGUCUUGUCUCGUGAGCCGCGGGUAUUCAGACAAUUCUCGCUCGGCCCCCUGAAAAAAGUAACGGAUGGAUCCGGUCCAGCCAGUCAGAUAACGUAUGCCCACACUAAGCCCAUCCUGGCUAGCACUCCCCUUGCUAGCCGGGCUAACGUCCUUGGUCAGUUCCCCCCCGGCCCCAAAAAGAAAAAUCGAUUCGUCGCUGAGCGCCAGCCGGGGCUGCCUCCGUCCACUCAGAACAGCGGGAAUUUGGGAAAUGGGGAAAUAAAAUGGAGCCAGCCAGAAGUCUGAAAAGUGAAGACCAGCAUGCUAGGUGCGGGUUUGGGUCGGCGCGGUGCGAGGCGCCGAACCAGCUAGCUCUAUUUAGACUCGUUCCUCAGCGCGCUGCUCACAACGGCACCCGUUCCAGUACAGCAAAAUGUGAUAUACCUCCGUACCUGGGCAAUGCUAUGUAUCAAUUUGACCUAUGUCAUGGCUUGGUCAUACUGGACGAAGAUUGCGGGCAGGAUCGUUAAUCAACGAUGGAGACCACAUUCUAAAUUAUGUACGGGAGCUACGGAGGACUUGACACUUGACACUUGCUCAAUGAUCAAUGCUCACUCACUCCACCAAACGCCGGGUUCCUUCCCUGAGCUCCCUCAUGAAAACCGCCCUUUGACUCUUGAGUGUUGAGCACGGGGUUCGCGGUCCUCCCAGGAUCCACAUCCCUAGACUUCCGGAACACUGUCAAAACCUUCCAUCUCACGCACUACACAUCAGAAUCAUUCAGUCAGUGUCUCUUCCGUGUUCUCUGUGUUGUUGUCCGUUUUUUUCUCUUUCGAUUUCUUGUUCGCAUAGAUUAGUUACAAAAAUUCUGAAUCAGUGUUGGGACGCUUUCGAGACGAUGUCCUGGCCCCUUUCCCGUACCAAGUAACGUGUUUACUAGUCCAUCACACUAGUAGGGGGUAGAAAAUACAGAGCAUGAGCUACUGUUGUA